rnacentral:rRNA from 1 species
AACGAACGCUAGCGGCAUGCCUAACACAUGCAAGUCGAACGAAGCCUUCGGGCUCAGUGGCGCACGGGUGCGUAACGCGUGGGAAUCUGCCCUUGGGUUCGGAAUAACAGUUAGAAAUGACUGCUAAUACCGGAUGAUGUCUUCGGACCAAAGAUUUAUCGCCGAAGGAUGAGCCUGCGUAGGAUUAGGUAGUGGGUGGGGUAAUGGCCCACCCAGCCGACGAUCCUUAGCUGGACAGAGAGGAUGAUCAUCCACACUGGGACUGUGAAACGGCCCAGACUCCGGCGGGAGGCAGCAGUGGUGAAUAUUGGACAAUGGGCGAAAGCCUGGUCCAGCAAUGCCGCGUGAGUGAUGAAGGCCUUCGGGUUGUAAAGCUCUUUUGCCAGGGUUGAUAAUGACAGUACCUGGAGAAUAAGCUCCGGCUAACUCCGUGCCAGCCGCCGCAGUAAGAC